rnacentral:rRNA from 1 species
GAUGAACGCUAGCGGCAGGCCUAACACAUGCCAGUCGAGGGAGAAGCCCUUUCGGGGGCAGAAACCGGCGCACGGGUGCGUAACGCGUAUGCAACCUACCUUUCACAGGGGGAUAGCCCGAAGAAAUUUGGAUUAAUACCCCAUAAUAUUAUUGGAUGGCAUCAUUUGAUAAUUAAAACUGCGGUGGUGAAAGAUGGGCAUGCGUCCUAUUAGCUAGUUGGAGUGGUAACGGCACCCCAAGGCUACGAUAGGUAGGGGUCCUGAGAGGGAGAUCCCCCACAUUGGUACUGAGACAGGGACCAGACACCUACGGGAGGCAGCAGUGAGGAAUAUUGGUCAAUGGUCGGAAGACUGAACCAGCCAUGCCGCGUGCAGGAAGAAUGCCUUAUGGGUUGUAAACUGCUUUUAUAUGGGAAGAAUAAGGUGUACGUGUACAUUGAUGACGGUACCAUAUGAAUAAGCAUCGGCUAACUCCGUG